ACUCUGUGCUCCCCUAAUUUGCUUAUGGUAUCACCUUCAUGUCUAAACUAUGUACCCAUUAUGACUAUAUCUUGGUAUGAAGUGUCAUUGGUUUAUACCUAGUUUCUGCCAAACUGCUUUCCAGUUUUCCCGGUAGUUUUUGUGAGAUAGUGAGUUUUUCUCCUCCAAGCUGGAAUCUUUCUGAUUAUCAAACACUAGAUUACUAUGGUCAUUACCUACUGUGUAUUGUGUACCCAAUUUAUUCCACUGAUCUACCACUUUAACUCUUAGUACCAUAUUGUUUUGAUGAUUACAGUUUUAUAUUACAUUUUGAGAUCUGGUAUGGGAAUUCAUAAAAAUUUGGUCUUCUACUCAGAGAAGGAAACAAAGAUGAAAUGUUUAGUGAUCAGUGAGGUGUCAGAUAGGCAUCCUGAAAAAUGGCAACUUUUACAAUAUCCUCCGACAAGCAUAUUGUGAGACUUCUUACUUUGCAAAUGACCUCUCUGGGUAAUGUGUGUUUAUAUCCAAAAUAAAGUUCUUUGCCAAAAUACA
rnacentral:lncRNA from 1 species